ACCCAGGGGGUUCCCUCUCAGGGGACAGUUCAUAUACUCAAGAAUGUGGCCGCUUGGAGAAAUAUCUGGCAUUCUUCAGGAUAGUGUGGGUGAGCAAAUGUGUUACAUUUCUUCUCCUUGUAAUUGCCUGUAUAC
ensembl:snoRNA